GAUUGUCAGAUCCAUCAUGUGGUGGAAGGGAAGCCCCAGAGAAGGGGCUGGAACCCUCGGUUCCUGCUCCCAACCAUACCGCCAGAUCACCCUCUGACCUGGGUCACAUCCCUGCCCUUCUCUGAGCCUAAGUUUCUUUGUCAACUGAAAACACUGGACCAGAUGAUGUCUGUAUCCCAUCUACUUCUCAAAUUCUUAGCAGCCUGUAUAGCUUUCAGGAUCUGCAUCAGUUUCAAGGAGGAAGAUCUUUAUACUCACAAGUACACUUUAAAGGAGAAAACUAAAGCCACCUUUUAUCCCUGGAGAGAGAAGAAUGCAGGCAGCAUUUUCAAGCUAAUCGUUUAUUGGCAAUCUGUGAUCACAAGGCUGAGCACCAAAUCGGAGUCAUUUUGGGAGAGGAGAGAAGCUGGACUGCAGGCAUGACCCAGACGGAGCUGAUCCUCACACCUCCGUUGAAGGCAGAAUAUCUUUGUGCACAUCAGCUUCAUUCUGCAGACCAGUUUUGGCUACCUGGAACACUGUUCAGGAUUCCAAGACCUCGGGCUGCAGUGGAACAAGACAUUGAUCUGAGAUUAAUUAGCAAUGACCAGCAAGGAUCAACACCUGUGGAUGGAGAGGGGAGGGGAGGGUGCAGGCAUCUCCUGUCAUGCUCAUUGGCCAGCUUAGAGACUUGCAGACCUGGCACUCGCCCUAGAGGAAGCAGUGUAGUGAGAAGAAAGCCAGACUUAAGGGAUGUUGGCUUCUGUUUCCAGCUCUGACACACCGACCUUUUGGCUGAGGCUGAGUUGCAUCUACAUUUUGAUUUGAGAAGAGGCAGAAAGUGUGGCAGAGGCACACGUGCAGUCUUCAGGGCCACACCCCCCGCCAUGUCCACUCCCAUUUUAGGAGGAACUGUUAGUCAGAUGCAGAAGACGUAGGAAGACAAGCCACAGUUGUAUGGUUGCUGCCUGUGAAGCAGUGAGCCACCUGUCCCUGUGUGCAGCAAAUGGAUGGCAGCUCAAAGGGUUAAACUGAAGAUAAUUGAAUGAAGGGACCCUUUGGAGAGGCGCAGACGGAAUCUCUCUGUCAGCCAGGCUGGAGUGUGGUGGCACAAUCUCGGCUCACUGCAACCUCCGCCUCCCAGGUUCAAGCAAUUCUCCUGCCUCAGCUUCCUGAGUAGCUGGAACUACAGGUGGUGCCACCAUACCUAGCUAAUUUUUCCUCUUUUUAGUAGAGAUAUAGGGCUGCGUGGGGAUUACAUGAAAUACUCCAAGUAAAGCCCUAAAUGAAUACUUGACCCACAGCAAAUAUAAUUAAUAUUAGGAAUUAUCAUUGUUUUAGUAGAUGUGAAAGAAAGGCUGUUAUCAAACUAUAAGUAAUGUAUACAUGCUAGUUACCACUGUGAACACAGGACAUGAAAUAAGUAUCCAAUUAGUGAUAAUAUACAAUGAAUUGUGACUGUGCUCCCAGAGAAGCCAGGUGAAGGCCAGGGGAAAUUCAGAGGACCAUCUCUGGCUGGGACAUCAGGGCAGGCUUCCUGGAGCAGGAGGUCCCUCAAGACUGGAGAGGACACUUUCAGGAAGUCAACCAAGACUGAGGAUGUGACUGACAUUCCUGGAAAAUAUCAAGGUGGAAUUUAGUAUCUUCCAGUGUUCUUACAUGGAAUCAUUUGUUCAUUUCUCCUGUGGAGAUUAAAAAACUACAAACCUCACAUUCUUUACCAUAAAAAUCUCCCAUUUUUAAAAUUCUUAUAUUUAGUCCUAGAUUUCUGUGAGUCUUCCUCAUUUGCCCCUGGCUAUCAUCAUCCUACAUAAAAUCAGGGAUGCUUGGCAUCCUAACUGGCAGCUACUAGGAAAAGGAAACUGAGAGAAGAUAGGAUUCUAAAGGUGCCACUGCCUGGAAAAUCUUGUUAGAUAAUGAUACAAGUUAGGAGCAUUGAUAACAACACGUUUUUCACUUACUGAGGUCUAAGUUUUGGGUCAUCCAAUUAUCAUCCUACUCUUUACCUUGUCACCACAAAAAUGUUCUUGCUGGGUGAGUCGGAAUGUAUUAAUUACCUAUCAAACAAUUGAAUAUUCUAUCAAUAAAUUAUGUAAAUAUUAAUAUUUUAAUAAAUAGCAAUACAAA